CACCAUCUGAAAUAAGAAGCUGGGAUAGAUUUCUCGCAGCACCGAUUCAGCCUGAUUCAGAGCAAAGUGCAGAGGAACCCAGCAAACCCAACAUGACAGUGAAAGGUGUAUUUGAAUCUUUCUUAAGCUUCUUCAGUCCAAUGA